rnacentral:rRNA from 1 species
GACGAACGCUGGCGGCGUGCUUAACACAUGCAAGUCGAACGGAAAGGCCCCUUUGGGGGUACUCGAGUGGCGAACGGGUGAGUAACACGUGAGUAACCUGCCCUUGACUUCGGGAUAACUUCAGGAAACUGGGGCUAAUACCGGAUAGGAAUCCUUGCUGCAUGGUGGGGGUUGGAAAGCUUCGGCGGUUUUGGAUGGACUCGCGGCUUAUCAGCUUGUUGGUGGGGUAGUGGCUUACCAAGGCUUUGACGGGUAGCCGGCCUGAGAGGGCGACCGGCCACAUUGGGACUGAGAUACGGCCCAGACUCCGACGGGAGGCAGCAGUGGGGAAUAUUGCACAAUGGGCGGAAGCCUGAUGCAGCAACGCCGCGUGCGGGAGGACGGCCUUCGGGUUGUAAACCGCUUUCAGCAGGGGCGAAGCUUGUGGUGACGGUACCUGCAGAAGAAGCACCGGCUAACUACGUG